GGUUUUGGUGAGAUUGAGAAAGCAAAAUAUAUGGUACAAAGUAAUCAAAUCUUCUGAAUUUGCAUAUGUAACUGAUAGUGCUGAUACUAGAUACAAGCCUUAUCCCACCUGCUAAGGUAUCACCUCAUUAUCCAUUGGUAUGUGAUAAUCUGAAAGGCUGCUGGGAUAAUUGCCUGGUGAAUAAGUUUUGUCAGAGCGUUAGAACUGGAUAAGUGAAAGCAAGUUAUUGAUUCAGUGAAAUCUUGCUUUUCAUGUCUACUCUCAAGUGCAUUAUUUGUUUCCUUGAGACUCAAGCCCAUUUUAGAAGUCAGUUCUAAAGCACCCACACCCCAGCCAUCCUUCUUAUUUUG
rnacentral:lncRNA from 1 species